rnacentral:rRNA from 1 species
GACGAACGCUGGCGGCGUGCUUAACACAUGCAAGUCGAGCGGUAAGGCCCUUUCGGGGGUACACGAGCGGCGAACGGGUGAGUAACACGUGGGUGACCUGCCCUCAGCUCUGGGAUAAGCCUGGGAAACUGGGUACUAAUACCGGAUAUGACUCCAUGACGCAUGUUGUGGGGUGGAAGCCUUGUGCGGCUGAGGAUGGGCCCGCGGCCUA